GCCAAAGAAAACUUGCGGCUGAUCGCCCGCCACUAACCGCCGCACGACCUGCCGCUCCACGAGCCGCCUCUUAAGAGUAGCCUAUUAAGGGAGCGAGGGGAGAGGUAGAGAGGGGGCAGGAGAGCACGCUGAGCCUCUGGCUGUCGGCGUCGCCACUACCUCGCAUGUUGCUAAAACGCCGCCGCUGGUUAGGGUUUAGGUAGGGUGACGAGUCAGCCUAUUCCGCGAACGCUGUUGGUUGUAAGUGGCUUGGUCUAAAAGGUAAAGGAGCUGUCCGCCGAGGUCGUGUCCUUAUUUUCACGCGGGAUACAGGUCUUCGAUACGGUGCCGGCGGAUGUUAAGGUGGGUCCUAUAUCGAUUGAACGUACGUACAAACUAAGACUAGAAAAGGGUUAUACAGGACAAGUAAGUUAAAAUAUGCCAGUAUAAAAUCGAUCCGAGGUAUAUAGGUAUCAACGUUUUGUUAAGAAGUCUAAAGGAACCAUUUUAAAGACCUUAUAAUGUAUUAUAACCGACACCGUAGUAUUCGUAAACAAAUAGGGGAUCAUAUUUUUAUGGUUUCACUCCAGAGAUAUGUAUGUAUGCUCUUCGUGGAGAAAUUAAUCAUUAAACGACCAUCUUUGUAGCUAGCCAAUAAUGACCUGUACUUCAUCGAAAAUGUUUACGUUAUCCAUUAACGCACCUUUAACAAGACUCUUUAACAACAGCUCUAUCCAUUAAUGUAUGAACUCUUGUCAACGAGAAAUUCUAAAGAACUCGAAAUAAGGCCCACGAGUUCACUUCGUUAACGAAGAAUGACUUCCCAGACAAAGAAAGAACCUGCCCAGUCCAACAAGGACAAAAGAGAAAGUAAGUCUACAUGGAACCUAAACAUUUAGUCUUUCAGACUACGAGUUGCUCUAAGUCCAGCGCGAUUCUGUAGUUGUUAGUCACGGCUGUUCGGAGGUGAUAGAUAACGUCUUUACUUCUUGGCACAACUAACGAAUAGGACUUAUACUAAAACCCGUUUAUCCUGGACUGAUCGAAGAUUUAGACGACUUGACAUGACUAGUAUCACACUUUGAUUAAACGAAAAAGAGAAGAUUUCCGGUAGAGUGCAAGCGUUACUAAGUAUUAAACGGUCUCCUCCACCGAGUCAACCUUCAAUACAAGUCAAAGAACUAAGAAUACGAUUAAGAGACAGGUAAACAUUCUGCCGACCACUACAAGUCUUAUUAUUCCCUUCACGGAACGUGGACUUACAGUUUACUUUUCAUCUCGACUUCCAACACUUCAAAUAUAUGGAUCUUCCCCUCGGAACCGCGUCACCAUUUCGACGACGGAACACUGGUACUCCAGUACCCAAGUUCAGGACCUUUGUCGGAGAAUGUCUUUACAUCCCUUUCCGACGCAUGAUAUCUGGGUUUCACCAGCCUGGGAAGGGACCUGGGACGCGUUCGCCCUCGAUGUACGUGGUCAUAAACUGCCAGAGAUACACCUCCCAAAGUCUUGAAAGAGAUCCGCGUCUGGACUUAUGAUCGUCAUGUGCGAACGUUGAUCGUUUUUUACGUUCUACGUCCCAGCGCAAAAGAAAAAGGUUACGUACCAUAGACAAGUCUACCUACUGGCGAUUAAAUACACCCUAUCCUUACAGAAGUAUAAACACCAAAACCACUCUUCUUUCCACUUGGAUUACCGAUGUCGUGAUAGUUCUUCUUACAAAGUUAGCGACCUCUUUAACUCCUUGUUUACUACCGACCACACCGCUUGUAGCUCCCUAAAAAACCUAGUACGAAACUAAAUUGGUUAUGAGGCAGGCAGGGUUUAAUCAACUCAAUCUAAACAGAUUGUGAUUUUGACAGAUCUAUGUAAGCAUAGAUAUAUUUAGACUCAGUUCAUUAAGUCUUAUCUCCCUCAUAUACAAACCGCAAUGAUCUAGUUCUGGACUCACUCCAAGAUCGAUUUUACUUAUACAAUUUACGUUUUUUCUC
rnacentral:rRNA from 1 species